rnacentral:tmRNA from 1 species
GGGGUAGUAAUGGUCUCGACAGGGAUCUUGCAGCCGGAGAAGCUAUCCGAAGGAGAUCGCGUCAAAUCUCACAAACAAAAAUAAACGCAGACGAUAGUUACGCGUACGCAGCUGCCUGAGUGCAGCAGCCGUCAGUCCUGAGUACCUGUCCUUAGGGGCACUGGCGUCAAACAGACAGGAAACGACCUGUGCAAAGCUUUGAGCAUAGUGGGCGUAUCAUGAAGCUACCGAAACCGGAAAGCCGUCUAUCGCUGUCCGGCGGAGGGAAUCUCAAAAGGUGGACUAUGAUAGUAGAAGUACGGUGAAUAGGUUUUUGGACACGGGUUCGACUCCCGUCUACUCCA